UUAGUUUUUGUGUUACCUGCUGUAAAUAUGGACACACAGCAAUGUUUAUGUGGGAUUUAGGUGGGUUUUCAAGGAGUUUAGUGAUGCCCAUAAAGAACCUACAUUACAUGA
rfam:Populus trichocarpa scaffold_18_contig_27, whole genome shotgun sequence.